GUAGCGCCGCUUCCCCAAAGGUUUGAAACCCUAAUCUAAAGAAAGAAACCCCUCUGCACUCUCUUAGUCUUCGUUCUUCACUCUCACCAUCACAGCAUCACUCACUCUCACCAUCACAGCAUCAUUCACUCUCAGUCACUCUCACUGUCAUACGCCGACGCCGUACGCCGCUCCUCUUCUGAAUGAUGCGCUUCGUCGCCUCCUCUUCACGGUGACGUCGUUGCUGCCUCCUCUCCUCGGUGACGCCGCUGCUGCCUUCUCCCCUUGGUGGCGUCGCUGCUGCCUCUUCUUCAAGAUUUUAUAUUUGUUCGGUUGAUUUUAGCUUUCAAUUUGAAGGUCAACAAUGUCAGCUUCAUAUCCUGAGGAUGUUCAAAGUAGCGAGCCAAGAUUUACCAGUGCUACUCCAUCCACUUUUGAAUCAGUCAGAUCUUCAGGAUAGUAAGAGUCAAUGCCGCCUCCACAGCUGCAGUCGCAGCCACAAACUCUGGUGAUGAAUCUGAUUAGUGAUCAGUGCAUCACCUCUCAGUUUGGAGUUUUUUAUGUUAUGUUUUUAUUAAGAUUUUGCUAUGUUAUUUGAUUUUGUGUUGUUGAGACUUGUUUAGUUGUUUUGAUGCUGAAGGAUUAUUAUUUUAGCAAGACUUGUUGAAUAUGUUGGAUUGUUAGACAAUUGGACAUGUUAGUUUAUGUUUUAUGGGAUUUUUGUUUUAUUAUUA